rnacentral:pre_miRNA from 1 species
GAUUUCAGCUGAAAAAGUUAUGAACAUAAAAGUUGUAUAACUAAUCGAGAUCUACAAAUUUUAUUUUGGUCAUUUUUUCAUUCGAUAAAGUGAUAGUAAUGUUAUUCUCAAAAUUUACACAUCUCUCUCGUAAUUUAUGAAACCAUAUGCCAGAUCUGUAAAUUUUGUGAACAAUGUUACUAUUACUUUGUCAGAAGAACAAAUAACCAAAAUAAAAAUUGUAGAUCUAGAUGGAUUAUAUAACUUUGUUGUUGAUGACUUUUUCAGUUGAAGUC